rnacentral:rRNA from 1 species
GACGAACGCUGGCGGCGUGCCUAAUACAUGCAAGUCGAACGAGUGGCGGACGGGUGAGUAAUGUCUGGGAAACUGCCUGAUGGAGGGGGAUAACUACUGGAAACGGUAGCUAAUACCGCAUACCAUCAGAUGUGCCCAGAUGGGAUUAGCUAGUAGGUGGGGUAACGGCUCACCUAGGCGACGAUCCCUAGCUGGUCUGAGAGGAUGACCAGCCAGACUGGAACAGAGACAGGGUCCAGCCUCCGACGGUAGGCAGCAGUGGGGAAUAUUGCACAAUGGGCGCAAGCCUGAUGCAGCCAUGCCGGGGGUAUGAAGAAGGCCUUCGGGGUGGAAAGUACUUUCAGCGGGGAUGCGGUACCCGCAGAAGAAGCACCGGCUAACGCCGUGCCAGCAGCCGCGGUAAUAC